rnacentral:lncRNA from 1 species
CCACCUUCGCCGUUGUGCUGAGCUCACUGAAGAGUCGCCAUGAGCAAAGCCCACCCUCCCGAACUGAAAAAGUUUAUGGACAAGAAGUUAUCACUGAAGUUAAACGGCGGCAGGCAUGUACAAGGAAUACUGCGGGGCUUUGACCCCUUUAUGAACCUUGUGAUUGAUGAGUGUGUGGAGAUGGCGACCAGUGGGCAACAGAACAACAUCGGGAUGGUGGUCAUCCGAGGAAACAGCAUCAUCAUGUUAGAAGCCUUGGAAAGAGUCUAACCAGUGUUCAGCCGUGUGUCCACAUCCCUCCCCAAAGGCGUGCUUGAUUGUGAUGUAGAACUAGGUCAUGUACAUUUUCAUAUGAAACUUUUUGCUAAAUAAACUUUUGUGAUAUCAAAAAAAAAAAA